UUAGCAAUAGGAAAAACACAGUUAAUGCUCUUUAAAAAACCCAGCCAAGCAGAAAAUUGGGAACAGCAGCAGCUGUGAGAGGCGACGUGUGCACAGGGUGCAAAUGAGUUUUAUUCUACUAGACUUUCCGUCCUUCUCAGUCACUGGGGGCCCAUCCAAGAGGCGGAUGCUACGAUGCCAGCAGCGAUGAUGUUAGAGAAAGAGACACACAGAGAAAGAGACAGGAGGGAGAAGCAGAGGAUUUUUUUAACAAGAGGCUCUUUAAAUGCUUUGAGUCUAUUUCUAAUGGUUCACAUACCCACUUUAUGGGCAGACCUUGGCUUUGAAGUAGGAAUGCCCUGCUUCUGCCAUUUCCUAUUGGGGUCUCCCAUGCAGAAGAGAAGCAAGGACUGA
rnacentral:lncRNA from 1 species